rnacentral:misc_RNA from 1 species
GAUGAAGAACGUAGCGAAAUGCGAUAAGUAAUGUGAAUUGCAGAAUUCAGUGAAUCAUCGAAUCUUUGAACGCACAUUGCGCCCCUUGGUAUUCCGAGGGGCAUGCCUGUUCGAGCGUCAUUAUAACCCUCAAGCUCAGCUUGGUGUUGGGGCCUGCUGCACUGGCAGCCCUUAAAAUCAGUGGCGGCGCCAUCUGGCUCUAAGCGUAGUAAUUCUUCUCGCUAUGGAGUCCUGGUGGAUGCUUGCCAGCAACCCCCAAUUUUUCUAUGGUUGACCUCGGAUCAGGUAGGGAUACCCGCUGAACUUAAGCAUAUCAAUAGCGGAGGA